rnacentral:rRNA from 1 species
UAGGUUGAUCGCGUCGAAGUGUAAUCUUGGGGCUUAACCCUGAGCGUGCUUUCGAUACCGGUUGACUUGUAUUUGAAGGUAGGGAAAUGGAAUUCCUGGUGGAGCGGUGGAAUGCGCAGAUAUCAGGGAGGAACACCAGUGGCGAAGGCGGUUCUCUGGGCCUUUCCUGACGCUGAGGAGCGAAAGCGUGGGGAGCGAACAGGCUUAGAUACCCUGGUAGUCCACGCUGUAAACGGUGGGUACUAGUGUGGGGUCCAUUCCACGGGUUCCGUGCCGUAGCUAACGCUUUAAGUACCCCGCCUGGGGAGUACGGCCGCAAGGCUAAAACUCAAAGGAAUUGACGGGGCCCCGCACAAGCGGCGGAGCAUGCGGAUUAAUUCGAUGCAACGCGUAGAACCUUACCUGGGUUUGACAUGGAUCGGGAGUGCUCAGAGAUGGGUGUGCCUCUUUUGGGGUCGGUUCACAGGUGGUGCAUGGCUGUCGUCAGCUCGUGUCGUGAGAUGUUGGGUUAAGUCCCGCAACGAGCGCAACCCUUGUUCACUGUUGCCAGCACGUUAUGGUGGGGACUCAGUGGAGACCGCCGGGGUCAACUCGGAGGAAGGUGGGGAUGACGUCAAGUCAUCAUGCCCCUUAUGUCCAGGGCUUCACGCAUGUACAAUGGCUGGUACAGAGAGUGGCGAGCCUGUGAGGGUGAGCGAAUCUCCGGAGAGCCGGUCUCAGUUCGGAUUGGGGUCUGCAACUCGACCUCAUGAAGUCGGAGUCGCUAGUAAUCGCAGAUCAGCAACGCUGCGGUGAAUACGUUCCCGGGGU